AGAGAAGAGAAGAGAAGAGAAGAGAGGAAGAAGGAAAAAAGCUAAACUCCCCUUAAAGUUGCCCAAUGCUGCCUUCUAGAUACAGGCCAGGCUGGGAAGAGAAUGCAUCCUUCCAGACCCAAGCACACUGUUGGAGCCUUAACCCCCAGGGCAGCUGCACUGGAAACUUCACCUCUGAGGAAGCAAUUAAGACUUCUUCAGAGGAAGGACCCUGGGAAGGCAGAACAGUUUCCCAAACCAGAAAAAGAGCCCUGACAAGAUCCUGACUAACCUGGAACAUGAAGUCUUCAGAACUAUGAAAAAAAAAAAACUGCUUUCUUUAAGCCACUCAGUCUGUGAUAAUCGUGAAUCUGAAGCUCGGGAAUGCUGCUCAUUAGGAAUGACUUACAUAACGCAGGGGCAAAAAAUAUCCUCUGUAGCCCAGGGUGGCCUGAAACACUGCUGUAGUCCAGGCUGACCUCAGGCUCAUACCAUUCCCCCUGUCAGCUGCCAGGGGUUGGAAUCGCAGGCAUGGGCCACCAUGGCCAGAUUUAAGAAUAAAAAGCUAACAUGUUUGAUUCUGCUGGUUGGCUAUAACGGCUAGGAGAUGUCCUGAAUGCCCUAAAGAAAAUUCUCACAGUCUAAUCAGAAUAUCUACUGCUUCUGACAAAGGCGUAUUUUAAAAUAUACCACACUUUUAUAUAAUGGCACUGUUCAUAUAGUCAAGAUCAUAUUUUUUGGUACUAUAAAUUUUUAUGCUUGUGGAAAGUCCUAUAGUUAGAAAAAAGG